rnacentral:rRNA from 1 species
UACGGAGGGGGCUAGCGUUGUUCGGAAUUACUGGGCGUAAAGCGCACGUAGGCGGCUUUGUAAGUUAGAGGUGAAAGCCCAGGGCUUAACCCUGGAAUUGCCUUUAAGACUGCAUCGCUAGAAUCGUGGAGAGGUGAGUGGAAUUCCGAGUGUAGAGGUGAAAUUCGUAGAUAUUCGGAAGAACACCAGUGGCGAAGGCGGCUCACUGGACCGGCAUUGACGCUGAGGUGCGAAAGCGUGGGGAGCAAACAGG